rnacentral:rRNA from 1 species
CAGAGGGUGCAAGCGUUGUUCGGAAUUAUUGGGCGUAAAGCGCGUGUAGGCGGCUUUGCAAGUCGGGUGUGAAAGCCCUCAGCUUAACUGAGGAAGUGCGCCCGAAACUGCUUGGCUUGAGUACCGGAGAGGAUGGCGGAAUUCCCCAAGUAGAGGUGAAAUUCGUAGAUAUGGGGAGGAACACCGGUGGCGAAGGCGGCCAUCUGGACGGAUACUGACGCUGAGACGCGAAAGCGUGGGUAGCAAACAGGAUUAGAUACCCUGGUAGUCCACGCCGUAAACGAUGAGAACUAGGUGUCGUGGGUGUUGACCCCCGCGGUGCCGCAGCUAACGCAUUAAGUUUUCCGCCUGGGAAGUACGGCCGCAAGGCUA